CAAUAGCGUAUAUUAAAGUUGUUGCAGUUAAAAAGCUCGUAGUUGGAUUUGUGGUUCGUCCCGCCGGCUGGGUCAUUGACUUUUGCUGUGCUGGUCGUCCAUCCUUGGGUGGAAUCUGUGUGGCAUUAGGUUGUCGCGCAGGGGAUGCCCAUCGUUUACUGUGAAAAAAUUAGAGUGUUCAAAGCAGGCUUAUGCCGUUGAAUAUAUUAGUAUGGAAUAAUGAUAUAGGACCUUGGUACUAUUUUGUUGGUUUGCGCACUGAGGUAAUGAUUAAUAGGGACAGUUGGGGGUAUUCGUAUUCCAUUGUAAGAGGUGAAAUUCUUGGAUUUUUGGAAGACGAACUACUGCGAAAGCAUUUACCAAGGAUGUUUUCAUUAA
rnacentral:rRNA from 1 species